rnacentral:lncRNA from 1 species
AUCUCUGUUCAGCUCAGAUCUAAGAGGCAGAGGCAGGGCACUGAGCUCAGAGUUAUAUGUAAAUCUGAGUCUAGAGAGGACCCGCUGAGCUUUCUAGGUUCGUCUUGGAGUCUGCGUGUGGGAUUCUUACGGUUCUCUGAUGGACCCAGUCACGCCAGCCAGCAUGGCACAGAAGCAAUGUGCAGUUCAACGGAGAAGAGCCACGGCGCUAUGUGGCUUGUCUCCGGAACGUCCUCAUCUGGGGAACGCCACCUCAGCACCCCCUCAGCGCCCCAAAGCUUCUGUCUGUGGUUGUUUCCUGUGCGAGUACAACUCGGAGCAUUCAAGCUGUUGUACCAGACUCAUCUUGCCCAGUGUCAGAAUCUCUUGUUCAAGACAGGCUGGGUGUGAAGCAUGCCUAUAGUCCUGGCACAUCAGGAGCUCAAGGCCGGUCCAGCUACUUGAGACCCGUGUGAGAGCUUAGAAGGUAAAGGUGCUUGCUGCUGUGCUUGACAGCGUGACGGAAAACAAGAAUGGACCCCUACAUGUUGUUCUUGGAUCUCCAUACAUGUUCCCAUGGACCCCCAAUAAAUAAAAUGUAAUUAAAAAAAAAA